rnacentral:lncRNA from 1 species
GACAAUCCUGGAACGCCUCCACCACCAUCUCUCUCAAAUUCAUCCUUAAUUACUCGACCCAGAGCAUCUCAAAAACCUAUGCUACAAAAGGGUGAAAAUGCUUGCUCGAAAGACUGUAGCAUAUGGACUCUAAGGAAGGCUUUAAAUGAAAGAUUGAAAUCAAGCCAAUUGAAAGAAAACUAAUUUCAAAACUUCGACUCCAGCUCUGAGUCUGAAUCCUAUCAAUCCGCUACUGAGG